rnacentral:lncRNA from 1 species
AGCAGAAUGAUGUAUUUUAUUGAUCCCCAUCCCCGAAGUGCAGCGUUAGGAGGGUUCAGCCAUCACAACCCCUCUGGUGGGGAUGGCUUUGGGGGGCUCACACCACCACGUGCUGGGGCGGGGGGUGUCAUCUGGGUUGUCAGGAGGGGUGCAGGGCCUGGGCCGGGCCAUGCUGGCGGGGUGUGAGGCUGCGGUGUGGACCGGCACCGAGCUGCUCUCAUCUUCGACUUCCUUCCCAGCACCGAGCCCAUUUCCUCUGGUGUCACGUGCACCGUGUGGGGCCGUGGCAGCCCUGGGAGCCUGGCACCGCACUGCGCCCCACGGCUUCGUGGGCAGCCCCACACCAGCAGCUCCCGGACCCCCCGAGGAUGGAGCCGGCCAAGGUCCCCCCCAGCAAGAGGAUGGCUCCUGCUCCCCCCGUCCCUGCCAAGGCCAAACCGGCCCCCACGCUGGCCAGCAAACCUGCUGCUCCCCAGCCCGGUGCCUCGGCCGACGCGGAGCUGGGCAGAGCCAGAGACACAGAUGGUGACGCCUUCAACGUGGUGCCGGUCACCACGGCCAGGCUGAGCCACCCCACGGCCACACGCCCCCGGGUACCAGGCCAGCGGCCCCCCAGCCUCGCCCUGGGGAGCGUGGGGGGUCCCUGCGGGGGGGAGCAGCCCUGGGGGCUCGGUGCCCCUCUCCCUGGCGCGGGCCAGGCUCCCGGCCCACCGUGGAGCACGGAGGUUCUGGUGGCACCGCGGUCGGGGGAGACGCUGGCCUUGGAGGACCUGAAGGCUGAGGUGCGGUCCCUGCACAUCCUCGUGGACCUGAUGCGAGUCCAGCACCUGCGGGACCUGGAGGACAUGCGGCUGGAGAUGUGCCAGGAGCGAGCCAAGCGCCAGGCGCUGCAGGCGGAGAUCGAGCGGGUGAGGAAGGCGCUGCCCUGCUAACAGCGGGGGUGCCCCCCCCUCCGGGCUGGUGGGUGGAACAGGGUGCUGGUGCUGUGCCCUGUGCCCCCCCAGCCCAGUUCUGCACCCAUUGGGCAGGAACCCUCACCCCACACCUGGGCUUCGUGGUGUGGUGCAGCCCCGAGAGGGGGCAACCACCCUGGGCUUAUAGAUAUUGUUUAAAAUAAACUAUUUUGGGUACGGAGCGCUGCUGGGCUG